rnacentral:rRNA from 1 species
UUAACUGGGGCGGUUGCCUCCUAAAAAGUAACGGAGGCGCCCAAAGGUUCCCUCAACCUGGACGGCAAUCAGGUGUUGAGUGUAAGUGCACAAGGGAGCUUGACUGCGAGACGUACAUGUCAAGCAGGGACGAAAGUCGGGACUAGUGAUCCGGCACCUCUGAGUGGAAGGGGUGUCGCUCAACGGAUAAAAGGUACCCCGGGGAUAACAGGCUGAUCUUCC